GCCUGGCUGGCUCAGUCGGUAGAGUGUGGGACUUUGAUCUCAGGGUUGUGGGUUCGAGCCGCAUGUUGGGCA
rnacentral:tRNA from 1 species